rnacentral:tRNA from 1 species
AGGAAAGUAAGCUAAAUUUUAAGCUAAUGGGUUCAUACCCCAUUUAUAGAGUAACCAUCUCUCUUUCCUA